UACGGGGGGGGCAAGCGUUGUUCGGAAUUACUGGGCGUAAAGAGCUCGUAGGCGGCCACUCAAGUCGAAUGUGAAACCUCGAGGCUUAACCUCGAGCCUGCAUUCGAUACUGGGCGGCUAGAGUCUGGUAGGGGGAUCUGGAAUUCCUGGUGUAGCGGUGGAAUGCGCAGAUAUCAGGAGGAACACCGGUGGCGAAGGCGGGUCUCUGGGCCGACACUGACGCUGAGGAGCGAAAGCGUGGGGAGCGAACAGG
rnacentral:rRNA from 1 species